ensembl:lncRNA
CUCUGGGUUCUCUCUGUCAAAUCCAUUCUAGCAGGGAAAGGCUGGGCAUUUCUAGGCUCUCCUCAAAGCCUUCCCUGGGGGAGCAGGAUUUAGCCCCCCCUCUUCCCCCAGGAAAACUUGGGGAUGUUUUUGAUGGUGGAAAUGGAGCUGGGCUCUCAGCCUGGGGAUUUUGAAGGGCACAGCUUUGAGCGUGGGUUAGAUGAGAUGUUGUUUAGGGGCUCCUUCUGACCUGAAUUAUUCUGUGAUUGCAGGCAUCUGCUCAUCCAAUAAAUUUUCCCCCCUCAGUUUUCCUGAAGCCCCUGGACCCAGAGGUGAUUGCAGCAGGCAAAGCAGCAAAAAAACCCAAAAGGACAAACCAGCUGCAGAGGUUGGUUUCAGGUAGAGCUCUCACAGGUCUUGGGGCACCGAUGCUUCCCACUGCACUUCCAGCAGACUUCUGCAGAGGGAAAGGAUUUGUUAUCGUGGCUUAAAUCCCAUCCUGAGGAGCUGAAUGUGCAAUCCUUUAAGCACAGGGAUGUCUCUGGAGUGCUGCCUAUUCCCACAGCUCGCUGUGCAGCAGAAGGAAUGUCUAGAGGAUGGAGAUGCAGCAGUCGAUCAGGCUGCCAGAGGAAGCAGUGGAGCCAUUGAAGUGGAGUGUGCUUUCCCUGAGCAGCCCUUUGGGGAGCUGAAAACAACGUGGUUAACCCAGCAGGUAAUGAGUGGGGAGUGAAAGCCACGAGCAGGAAGGACAUGAUGCCACUCACCAGCUUCCUAAACAAGUGAUCACAGCCAGUCCCGAGCUGGAGAUCCCUGGCACUGCAGUGAGCACCGGUUUGAAGUGUGCCCUUGAGAAAUCUCCACGUUUGCCUGCUCCAGGAGUGUUCCUGAGGCUCCAGCUCAGCCCCUUAGGCUGCAGCCUAGCCAAGCUCCCUGCUGCUGGUGAGAGCACAUCAGGGACUCUGGACAUCAUGGCUGGACAUGUGUGCAGGAUUGGAGCCUCUUCCUUCCUCUAUAGGUGCAUGUGGAUGGAUGAGCACUCUGAAAUUAAAGGUGGAGAGGUUAUUCACAGAGGAAUUAACCCUGCUUUAGGGGUGGAGUUCAGUGUUUGUGUUAUUGAUGCCUGUAACUGAUUAAACACUGAGCCUCAUCGACAGGUUCUGCUGAUCCUGUGGACUGGGGAUGUUCCACUUCUCCCUUUCCAAAGGGAAAGGGCAUUUCAAGAGGCAGAGAGGGAACAGAAGGUGGUGCCCCAGGGAGAGAUUCAAAUGAACAUCCUGAUCUGAAGGGAAGAGCAAAUGUAAAUCUGAGAGAGAUCCUGGGAGAGAUGAGGUGUAAAGGCUACGUGCUCCCUCAGCCGCCCAUUUUCCUCAUUGAGGGCAGAUUUUGGGGUGGGCAUGUUUGCAUAAGAGCAGGUCUUGUCCUCUUGAGGCAGGGAAGCAUUCAAAGAGCACAGCAGAGGGAUGAUGCACAGUGAGGAGUCUUCCAAAGUCUGGCCAGGUGUAAGCAGGGAUUUCCUUUUAUUUCCUCACAUCUGACCCUAACUCUGUGGUACCUUGCUGUGCCCACCCUGGCAGCAUUUGUGUGGUUUCUGCUCUGAGAGAGAGGUGCUGUUCAGGGAGGUUUGGAAAUGCCUCAGCCAGCCAAGCCCCUCUCUCUGAGCACCUUCAAAUGGAGCUCCUGUUCUCUGGGGGGCACAGGGAUGUAAGAGCCCUCUCCAGGCUGACCCAAAC